UACGUAGGGGGCAAGCGUUGUCCGGAUUUACUGGGCGUAAAGAGCGUGUAGGCGGCCACGCAGGUCCGUUGUGAAGACUGGAGGCUCAACUUCCAGCCGUCGACGGAAACCGUGUGGCUAGAGUCCGGAAGAGGAGAGUGGAAUUCCUGGUGUAGCGGUGAAAUGCGCAGAUAUCAGGAAGAACACCAAUGGCGAAGGCAGCUCUCUGGGACGGUACUGACGCU
rnacentral:rRNA from 1 species